rnacentral:lncRNA from 1 species
GUGCUGUAGUUCCUCAUAGCUGGGAGUGCUGUAGUUCCUCAUAGCUGGGAGUGCUGAUAGUUCCUCAUAGCUGGGAGUGCUGAUAGUUCCUCAUAGCUGGGAGUGCUGAUAGUUCCUCAUAGCUGGGAGUGCUGAUAGUUCCUCAUAGCUGGGAGUGCUGAUAGUUCCUCAUAGCUGGGAGUGCUGAUAGUUCCUCAUAGCUGGGAGUGCUGAUAGUUCCUCAUGGCUGGGAGUGCUGAUAGUUCCUCAUAGCUGGGAGUGCUGAUCGUUCCUCAUAGCUGGGAGUGCUGAUCGUUCCUCAUGGCUGGGAGUGCUGUAGUUCCUCAUGGCUGGGAGUGCUGUAGUUCCUCAUGGCUGGGAGUGCUGUAGUUCCUCAUAGCUGGGAGUGCUGAUAGUUCCUCAUAGCUGGGAGUGCUGAUAGUUCCUCAUAGCUGGGAGUGCUGAUAGUUCCUCAUGGCUGGGAGUGCUGAUAGUUCCUCAUGGCUGGGAGUGCAGUAGUUCCUCAUGGCUGGGAGUGCAGUAGUUCCUCAUGGCUGGGAGUGCAGUAGUUCCUCAUGGCUGGGAGUGCAGUAGUUCCUCAUGGCUGGGAGUGAUGAUAGUUCCUCAUGGCUGGGAGUGAUGAUAGUUCCUCAUGGCUGGGAGUGAUGAUAUUCCUCAUAGCUGGGAGUGCUGAUUGUUGAAGACUGUUCGUUGAGUCAUAAAAGUGCAUUGAAAUGUCUUAUGAACUGUGAACUCUGGAGAGGUGUGUCCACUUGGAGACACCAGUUAGUCUUCUCACUCAAACCCUUGUAAUCGUUUGGUCUUAUGUUUCAUCUACACCACGUUUUCCAGGAAUAUUCUUAACAUGUUACUGAAUGUAUCCAGAAUAUUUUCAGAUUUUGUUAUCAACAAAUGUGGUGAAAAGUACAGUAAAUGUAAAAAGCACAUAAAACCAAUAGCGUAAUGUUUAGACUCGGUCUUGUAAAGUGAACUUUGGUCUGAUGAUUUUCCCAUAAUCUCCACUGUUUCCUCCAUGGUAAUACAUAUGCUUUUCAUAUUCCUUCUGUAAGAAACAUUUAAAUGUAGCCCUAUCCAUUUUGGCAACCCGUUACACAGGUGGGAACUUGAGAAUUGUUGCCAUGAAUUGAAAUACUCCUCUGUUUUGAUCAGUAGAAAACCUUUUAAUUGUCAAUUUCACUUUCAAGCAAAAAAACUCCCCCCACAAAGAUCAAGUUUUGUUAUUUUGGUUGGUUGUGUUUUUGAGGUUUCUGUUAGUAGCUAAACCAGAUUUUACACCGAGUGUACAAAACAUUAGGGACACCUUCCUAAUAUUGAGUUGAACCCCUGUUUGCCCUCAGUACAGCCUUAUUAAUUCAUCGGAGUAUGGACUUUACAAGGUGUCGAAAGCGUUCCACAGGGAUGCUGGCCCAUGUUGACUCCAAUGCUUCCCACAGUUGUGUCAAGUUGGCUGGAUGUCCUUUGGGUGGUGGACCGUUCUUGAUACACAUGGGAAACUGUUGAGUGUGAAAAACCCAGCAGCGUUGCAGUUCUUGACACACUCAAACCAGUGCGCCUGGCACCUACUACCAUACCCUGUUCAAAGGCACUUAAAUAUUUUGUCUUUCCCAUUCACCCUCUGAAUGACACACAUACACAAUCCAUGUCUCAAUUGUCUCAAGGCUUAAAAAUCCUUCUUUAACCCGUCUCCUCCCCUUCAUCUACACUGAUUGAAGUGGAUUUAACAUGAGACAUCAAUAAGGGAUCAUAGCUUUCACCUGGUCAGUCUGUCAUGGAAAGAACAUGUGUUCUGUACACUCAGUGUAUAUGUUUUGUACACUCAGUGUAUAUGUUUUGUACACUCAGUGUAUAUGUUUUGUGCACAGUGCAUAUGAAAGAGGUUGAAACCAACCCUUCAUGAUCUGGUUAUCUGGCAUAUUGAAGCAGCAUUUCUGCUGAUGUUGAUGAUAUCGAUCUGUUAUUUUACAUCUCUGCCAUGACGCGUAAACCUGGAAAAUAAAUACACUUGUGUCCUAUUCUACGUCUCUGGGGAUCUUUUUUUCUUUCGAAAACAAACAUAAUUAAAUCGCUGUUUUUUUCAUAAAGUCUCAUCUGUGUCCCAAAUGGCACUCUGUUUCCUCUAUAGUGCACUAGGGGGGCCCUGUUCCCUCUAUAGCGCACUAGGGGG